AAUAUGCAUUCAAAUCAAGAAAAUAUAAUUGUUAAGUUUUUGAAUGAAUGCUAAGUUACAACAAGGCCAGUGGAGUGAUGUCAUAAUUUGAGCAACAAGAUAUGAAUAAAGUCUAUUUGAUAGACUUGAUAGAACAUAGAUGUUACUCGAAAAAAAUUGACAAAACAUAACACGGUCAAUUUUGAAGUAUAGACUUGAAAUUGGACUUAAUGAUAUAGCAAGGCUAUCUCAAGAAUGUUUAAUAGAGAAAUUAAAUCUCAAAUGUUGAAGAUUUGAGAAAGUAUUUUCUUAUAUGAUAGAAAAUCACUUUCAUAACCCUUAUAACGAUAUGUGUCAUAAAAUCACAAAAGGGACACAUGUAUGGACUUGUGAGAUGAUAUCCAAAGGUGAAAAACCACAUGGGUUGUCACUUUAAGAUAUUACUAAAUCCCAGGAUCAGAACCAUAGCAACUGAUAGAGUAUUAUUGCCUUUAAGAAAGGAACAUCAGAGUAGGACUCUGGAAGCGUGCAUUCACUCAGGUUAUUAACCAAAGUGAAAAUAACCCAUUUUAACAAAUGGAACUUCAUAAUGGAUGAAGUACUAAUCAUAUGAAUGUAUUGUAAGUAUUGUACUAUAAUGGUCUCAAGGUUGGAGCAAAGUUUGUAUAAAGUAUACAAACGAAAUAUAUG
rnacentral:lncRNA from 1 species